GCCCGCUUGGCGCAGCGGUAGUCGCGCGUCACUAGUAAUAUCUAGUAAUGACGAGGUCAUCAGUUCAAAUCUGGUAGUGGGCA